rnacentral:lncRNA from 1 species
ACCUCUGUUGUGAUUCCACCUACCCCCCAGACAGGGGCAAUCCAGGAUAAAGAGAAGACGGUGCCAGAGUCAUGCCAGCCGGGAUUGUUCUCUCGCCCCGGAUUCACUACAGAACUAAGAGUCCCCCAUGCUGGUCCUCUCAGGCCAUCUGGAGUUGGGAAAAGCAGACGGAAGCAAGGCCAGGCCCCCUGUCGACGAGAUGCUCUGGGAUAUAGCAGAAACAAAGAGAGGAGGGCACGGAGGCUGGUGCUGCCUCAGGCUGCCUCCACGGUACAGGAAGAAGGCAAGGAG